GGCUGCCCGAGCCAACAGGGGCAACUGUUUCGGAUCUCCUUCUAUCUGGUGGAGGCUUAUGUUCUUUUGUUCUUUGCAAUAAAUCUUGUUGCUGCUGACUAUUUGGAUUCACACUGCCUUUAUGAACUGUAACACUCACUGUGAAGGUGUGCAGUUUCACUCCUGAAACCAGUGAGACCACGAACCCACUGGGAGGAACGAGCAACUCCAGAUGCCCUGCCUUAGGGUAGUAACACUCACCGCGAAGGUCUGCAGCUGCACUCCUGAACCAGCAAGACCAUGAACCCACCAGAAAGAGAAGGAAGAAACGCCAAACACAUCUGAACGUCAAAAGCAACAAACUGCAGACACGCCACCUUUAAGAACUGUAACACUCACCGCGAGGGUCCGCGACUUCAUUCUUGAAGUCAGGAUGGAGUCUCCCUCUGUCGUCCAGGCUGGAGUGCAAUGGCACGAUCUCGGCUCACUGCAACCUCCACCUCCCGGGUUCAAGCAAUUCUCCUGCCUCAGCCUCCUUAGUAGCGGGGAUUACAGGCGCCCGCCACCAUAGUUGGCUAAUUUUUGUAUUUUUAGUAGAGAUGGGGGUUUCACCAUGUUGGUCAGGCCGGUCUCGAACUCCUGACCUCAGGCGAUCCGCCCGCCUCGGCCUCCCAAAGUUGGAUUAUAGGCGUGAGCCACCGCGCCCGGCCACCUAAUCACAUUUUCAAGACAGCUGUGGCUACUUGGGACUCUCAUCAGCGGCUCCCGAAAAAUUUAAAAAAAUCAGUUACUGUGAAAAUUUAUAUUAAACUAAGGCCAGACUCUGCAAAGAAAAUAAAACUAUGUAAUUCCAAGGCUA